AGACCCGAAACCCGGUGAUCUAGCCAUGGGCAGGUUGAAGGUUGGGUAACACUAACUGGAGGACCGAACCGACUAAUGUUGAAAAAUUAGCGGAUGACCUGUGGCUGGGGGUGAAAGGCCAAUCAAACCGGGAGAUAGCUGGUUCUCCCCGAAAGCUAUUUAGGUAGCGCCUCGUGAAUUCAUCUCCGGGGGUAGAGCACUGUUUCGGCUAGGGGGCCAUCCCGGCUUACCAACCCGAUGCAAACUGCGAAUACCGGAGAAUGUUAUCACGGGAGACACACGGCGGGUGCUAACGUCCGUCGUGAAGAGGGAAACAACCCAGACCGCCAGCUAAGGUCCCAAAGUCAUGGUUAAGUGGGAAACGAUGUGGGAAGGCCCAGACAGCCAGGAUGUUGGCUUAGAAGCAGCCAUCAUUUAAAGAAAGCGUAAUAGCUCACUGGUCGAGUCGGCCUGCGCGGAAGAUGUAACGGGGCUAAACCAUGCACCGAAGCUGCGGCAGCGAACGUAUCACUUAAAGCGAUUCAGCGGAUGACGAUUGACGGAGCGAAGCGACGUCAAAGCGUAUACAAAGUCGAGUCGGUUUAAGGAUACGUUCGUUGGGUAGGGGAGCGUUCUGUAAGCCUGUGAAGGUGGCCUGUGAGGGUUGCUGGAGGUAUCAGAAGUGCGAAUGCUGACAUAAGUAACGAUAAAGCGGGUGAAAAGCCCGCUCGCCGGAAGACCAAGGGUUCCUGUCCAACGUUAAUCGGGGCAGGGUGAGUCGACCCCUAAGGCGAGGCCGA
rnacentral:rRNA from 1 species